rnacentral:rRNA from 1 species
UGGGGAAUCUUCCGCAAUGGACGAAAGUCUGACGGAGCAACGCCGCGUGAGUGAAGACGGCCUUCGGGUUGUAAAGCUCUGUGAUCCGGGACGAAAGAGCCUGAGGUGAAUAGCCUAAGGAAGUGACGGUACCGGAAAAGCAAGCCACGGCUAACUACGUGCCAGCAGCCGCGGUAAUACGUAGGUGGCAAGCGUUGUCCGGAAUUAUUGGGCGUAAAGCGCGCGCAGGCGGCUUCCUAAGUCCAUCUUAAAAGUGCGGGGCUUAACCCCGUGAUGGGAUGGAAACUGGGAAGCUGGAGUAUUGGAGAGGAAAGUGGAAUUCCUAGUGUAGCGGUGAAAUGCGUAGAGAUUAGGAAGAACACCGGUGGCGAAGGCGACUUUCUGGACGAAAACUGACGCUGAGGCGCGAAAGCGUGGGGAGCAAACAGG